rnacentral:rRNA from 1 species
UACGUAGGUGACAAGCGUUGUCCGGAUUUACUGGGCGUAAAGAGCGCGCAGGCGGUCGUUCAAGUCGCGUGUGAAAGCCCCGGCUCAACUGGGGAGGGUCACGCGAUACUGAUCGACUGGAAGGCAGGAGAGGGUAGUGGAAUUCCCGGUGUAGUGGUGAAAUGCGUAGAUAUCGUAAGGAAGACCAGUGGCGAAGGCGGGUCUCUGGACAGUUCCUGACGCUGAGGCACGAAGGCCAGGGGAGCAAACGGG